UACAUGGGGUGCAAACGUUUGCUCGGAAUCAUUGGGCGUAAAGCGCGCGUAGGCGGUUACUUAAGUUGGAUGUGAAAGCCCUCGGCUUAACCGAGGAAGUGCAUCCAAAACUGAGUAGCUAGAGUACGAAAGAGGGUCGCGGAAUUCCCGGUGUAGAGGUGAAAUUCGUAGAUAUCGGGAGGAACACCGGUGGCGAAGGCGGCGACCUGGGUCGAGACUGACGCUGAGGCGCGAAAGCGUGGGGAGCAAACAGG
rnacentral:rRNA from 1 species